GUGGGCGAACAUGUUUCUAGUGCACGGUUUCAGUUUAAGUUUCGUGACUAGAUUACAUGCUCGUCUAUU
rnacentral:pre_miRNA from 1 species